UACUCAAAGACUGUGUUUAAAAUUCACGCCCAGCAUCUGGGAGGCAAGAUGAUAUGACAUUUGCGUAGGAGUAGACCUGGGUGUGGCCCUGAUUGGUACUUGGCUCCUAUGUAGUCCUGGACAAGAGAGCAAGUCCAUCACCACCCUCACCCAGCUGGUGGACUAAACCUAGGCGAUCUAAUCCAGAGUCCCUGCUUUUAACCUCUAGCCUAUAUAAGGAUGCAAUGGUGCCAAUGUGUUUGUCUCAGUUCUUGGCUACUCAAAAUGGGAGCAGUGAGGGUGAUUCUCUAUCAUGUGUCUCUUUGUUGUUUUUUGAGACAGAGUUGCUUUGUAGCCUAGGCUGGCCUAGAACUCUUGAUCCCCUUGCUCCAGUCUCCCAAGAGCUGGGACCACAGACAUGUGCCACCAAGGCUAGCCGAUGAUUGCCCCUUAAUGCCCUGGUGAAUAGGAUGACUAUGAUGAUGGCGACAGGGUUGAGAGAAGCCUUGCACAUACAGGUCUGGGCUGCAGCUGAGUGGUAGGAGGAGGCCUCCUGUUCAAUCUCCCAAGAACCCAAUCCCCAAAGAACCCAGAUUGAAGCAAAACAAAACCUUCAACCAGCAGAAGAUGGGAGACCAGUGACUUCCAGAUUCUUCCCCAAAUGCUCCUACUGAUGCAAAAAGCAAAACCAAACAAAAAUCAUCUGGAAUUAACCCCAGUAGGUCUUGGAAUGAAGUCACUCCAUGAACCUGAGACGCUAGUCUUGGGUAUGUCCUUGUCAGGAUAAAGUAGAAAGAGCUCCCGACUGGACCUGCUUAGUACACUACCUGGAAUAAAAGGGGUCUAGUGGAUGUCUGGGGAGAGGAAAGCCUUGUGUCAUGGGAGGGGACUUUGGAGGUCUCUAGAAGGGAGUAGUGUGUGGCUCCCCCUCCCUAUUAUUUGAGCUCUGUCCCAGGAGUUGGUGGGAAAGGCUUGCCAGAAUGUCCUGGGUUCCUGCAGACAGAGGUCUGCUCCACCAAUGCAGGGGGUGGCUGCCACUCCUUGAAGAAUCAGAUCGUUGGCAUCCCAGGCUCCUCUCCUGUCCCCACGUCCUGUGUUCACAAAUUUGACCUAACUGAAAGACAGCUCCAGAAGCAAACGCCCAUGAGAACAGGGGUUUUAGUUUCUCUUAUUUAUUACUGUUUCCACAGUGACUGGAACAGUCCUUAGCCCAUGCUAGACAUUAAGAAAAAUACCAUUGGGAAAAUGAAUCUUGUCAGGAACCCAGAGGCUUUAAGAUGUUCCCGCUGUGCUCUGUGGCUGAACGAAACCGUGGGCUUCGCUCAUCUAGUCGGCUGUUGAUGCCGUUUCUGCCUUACAAAACAGAACAAUGUCAGUUGAGUUUACUGUAGCUUUGAAAUGUAAAAGCUAUGAAACUGAUUCAAAAAGGACAGCUUUAGGAAGUUCAGCUGAUUUUAGAAUUCACAGGCGAUAGUGUUUCUAGAAAAUACGCUACAGACACGCUUUUUUAGAAUUUUCAAACCAUCUUUCCAAUUAGCUCUUGGGUUGAGAAGUUAAAAAAAAAACCAGUUGGAAAUGAGUGAUACCCCAUACCGGCACCUUCAGAAUGUGGCUAAAGAAAUAUCCCAAGGGCAGCUUAUAGCCUCCGUGAGCUCACCAAACAGGGCUCUGAAAAGAAGAUGAACCAAACAUUCCACUCAAGAGGCCAGAGAACAAGCACUAGUGCCCACCUCCCAGACAUGCACACAUGCACACACACAUGCACACAUGCACAGAGAAGAAAGACAAACUUCACCCAAACUUUUUUCACACAUGCACAGAGAAGAAAGACAAACUUCACCCAAACUUUUUUCAUAGCUAGGUCACGACAGUGAGGUAUAUUUCUAGCAGGGUAUUUUCUGAAUGUUGUCACUAACUAGCACAUUUUCUACUAGUCGAUAGCUGCCACCCUGCAGAAGAUAAAGUCUUGUUAAAGACAUGGCCACUCAAGAGUAGCUAAUCAUGCUUUACUUUAUCUAGGGCAUUCUGGGAAAGCGUCAGUGGAAGAAGACGGAGGGUAUGGCUUGAGGAGGUGAUCCGAGAGAGAGCAGGGCUCGUUCUGGUCCUUUCUGGUUAUGAUGGUUAAUCUCAAGUGUCAUCUCGAUGAAAUCUAGAAUCCUCUAGGAGCUGGGUCUCUGAGGGGGAUUACCUUGAUUAGGCUAACCGAUGUAGGGAGACCCACCCACUAUGGGUGCACCAUUCCUAAGCUAGGAUCCCAGACUGUAUAAAAAAAGAAGGCAGCCGAGCAUGAAUAGCCACUGUUCUGUUUUUCUGAUUGUGCUGGACUGAGUGUCCUUGAACUGUGAGCCAGAACAAACCCUUUCUCCCCCAACUUGCUUUCGUCAGGACAUUUUAUCUCAGCAACAGGAAAAGAAAGGAAGACCCUGGGUGAUCUGACCUGUAUGAGAUGGCAGCAACUGAUGGGACCUGGAGCCUCCUGUGUGAGAGGCAGGAUCCUAAGUCACAAGCAGAAAAGGCAAAGGAGGCAAAGAGCUGGCUUUCUCUUCUGCCUGUUUGGAGGUCCUGACUCUGGGAUCCUGUUUAGAGCAACUCAGAGAGAAGGCCAACCCCUUUUCUGUGGCGCCAUCUUUGGUCAGGGUACUGGUGUGGCCUUCCCUACUGCCAAGGAGAAAUACCUGGGACACGGGAAGACUUUAAGGCCGAGACUUCAGCUCACUCGAGGCUGCUGGUCCACCAUCAACUGUGCAUCAGGCCCUGAGUGUCCAGGGGCUUUGCUCUGAGGUUCCACGGAGCAGCAAGAAGACACACAACUGGAGCUUCCUUUCCCUUGUAUUAUUUUCUUCUCUGCACACCUGCAACGUACUCAGGACCCAGCUCUGCACAGCGCUGUAGGGGCGAGUUCUGCUAAGCAGAAAUCCCCCAUAGAAGAUCACAGAUUUGUCCAUUUUUGCCUUCAGCUCGCCAAUUGAUUUGAUAAUUGCCUGGGAGACAUACACGGGCAUACAGACACACAAAGCAAAUGUCGGGCCACAGGCUUUUUUCCUCGACAGUGGGAUGAAGAUGUUUUACUUACUGGAACUCAGAUGUCACCUGGAAGAAUAAGAGGAGGUACUGGGGAGAAAAAGAGAAAGGAAUGGAGACGGCAUGGUGUGGGAGGCAGGUGGUCCCCCUUGGUUACCAAGUGUGAUGACUCCCCGAAUAUGACAAUAAAUCACGGCAGGAAUCAA